ensembl:lncRNA
UCCCUAAUUUCGUAAAGGAGUCCAUGCCCUUGAUUAUAUUUAUAAAUUUAAAAUAUCACAGAACGGAAAAAAGAUGUCAAAUUUGGGAAAUAUUAGCAUGCACUAGAAGAACUGAGGUCAGGUCUUCACUUGGGAUGAUGAAGAAUCUCCCUCGCUAGCAAUGGACCUUCGUGUAUGCAGGGACUAAAGCUGCGUACCCUGCUGCUGACUCUGGGAUUCAGGAAAUUUGCCCGUAGUCUUCCCAAUUAAAGUGCCAUCAAUUAGUACUUCUAGUUCAACCCUCAACUCGCAUGCUGUUAUGGGAACUGGAUUGUGUCCCCCGCAAAAGAUGCUGAAGUCCUAGCCCACAGUACCUGGGAUGUGGUCCUGGAAAUAGGACCUCUGCAAAUGAUCAAGUCAAAAUUAGGUAAAAGGGUAGGCUGAAGUUCAAUAUAAAAAGAGGAAAUGUAGACAGAGACAUACACACAAAGGGAAUGCCAUGCGGACAUGAAGACAGAUAUAAGGGAUAAUCUACACACCAAGGGACACCAAAGACUUCCAGCAAACCAUCAGAAGGUAGGCGAGAACCAUGGCGCAGUCUCCUUCACAGCCCCUGGAAGGAAGCAAUCAGACCAACACCCUGAUCUUGACUCUCAGCUUCCAGCACUUUGAGGCAAAUGUCUGUUGCCUGAGCCCCACAGUUCUUGGUAUUCGGUAAUGGCAGCCAUAGAAAAACAACACACAAGUCUUCCCAGCCUGCCAUUCUCUUUCGACUUUGUCCCUGUGUUAGUCUGUUAGUCGCUCAGUCACGCCCGACUCUUUGCGACCCNNNNNNNNNNNNNNNNNNNNNNNNNNNNNNNNNNNNNNNNNNNNNNNNNNNNNNNNNNNNNNNNNNNNNNNNNNNNNNNNNNNNGGGAUCUUCCUGACUCAGGGAUCGAACCCGGGUAUCCUGCACUGCAGGCAGAUUCUUUACCAUCUGAGCUAUGAGGGAAGCCUUAUUCUUUUUUCUUCUAAUAUUCUUAUAUGCUCCCACCAAUUCCCUAAGGUCAUUCCACACCUCCUGCCACCAAAGCCCUUCGGCAGUAUUUCUUGUUGGGUACCAAUGGCAUUUUGCAUGGGGCAGCUCUUUUGGGCGACUGUCCAGGACACUGCAGGAUGUCAAGCAUCCCUGGCACUUCCAUUCCAUCAAGGACAUGAUAGUGCCCACAGUGCAGAAACUCGGCUCCAGAAGCUUUAGAGCCACCUGCCAGCCACACUCUGACUCAAGGUCCCACCAUCAACUGCAAAUGAUCUCAAUCAGGUCAGUUACCUUCAGCCUCUCCACUUAUAAGAUGGGAAUCAACCCUGCCAGGUGGCUCAGGAUUGAAUUAAAGAUCCUAGCAAGUCCAGGCUUACCCUCACCAGCUUUUUCUGGGAUUAGAGUCACUUAAGAAUUAAUGCUCAGCCUGUUUUACAUGGUCACAUCCUGAUUUACAUUGGAACUCCUUUCGGAGGUUCCCUUACACAAAUAAAGCCUCAUGAUACAUCCUGUGGAGAUGGAACAGAUCUCUGCAUGUUUCAAAUAGUUAUAAGUCAGGCAAAAUAAAAUGCUUUUCUAAGCUUAAAAGAGCAAGACAACCCUGAGCACAGUUCCGUUUCCCCUCCACUCCCAACCUCACUUGAAAACAGCGUUGCAGCUGUGGGCAAAGGUCCACAUCUUCCAACUCUGCUUCCCAUUUCUCUGUACCUUUUUCUCCCAGUGAC